rnacentral:sRNA from 1 species
AACCGUCAACGAAUGCCUUUUUUUCCCUGAUCGUUACAAACGCGGAAAGAAGGGAAGAGAUUGAAGAGAUAACCGCGGCAUUGAGGAGGUUUCUUUCUUUCUUUGACCCCCGCAAAAUCUCCCUACCUACCAGCCAUAGGUAUCCUGCUAUUUUUCCCAUCAAUUGUCGAGUUCGAGCGAAGCUGCAUCGAUUCAGUCUGGCGAGUUUGUUGCUUGAGCUUCCUUGCGGAGGACCUUAGGUACCAGAGCCAACCUUUCCCCCCCAUUAACCAACGGGCGCGCGAGAGAAAAAUCGGGUUGCCGCUGUUCAACUUAUGUUCUCACAUUCCUCGCGCUAUUUGUUCAAAUAAGGGGGACAACAAAAAGACCGAAAGAAAAGAAAAGAAAAAGAAAUAAAAAGAAGAAAAAAAUCAAGUCCCAUCGGCCCUUUGUUUUUGGUAUUUCGUUUCGUUAAAAGUCCGGUUCCAUUCGAUUUUUCCGAUCGCGUAAGUGGGUGUGUACCUUUGCGGGAUUUGAGCUGGGUUUUCAAGCAACGCUUGUUCCGUUUCAAUCUCGGUUUUGGAUUUGUAUGUUGCGAGGGGUUGUUGGUGAAGUUUGAAGUUGUGUAGGUUGUGGGAAAUUGGCUUUCGCAUUGAGGAGCGAGGGAAGGUUGCGCGCGCGCGUGUCUGUGUCUGGGUGUGUAAUCGAGAGAGAGAGAGAGAAGCGGGGGGGAGAAGAGAGACUGACUGUGUGAUACACGUUGAAACAGAGGCCGGCGAACGAAAAGGACAGGGAUUUAAGAGAAAGAAGAGAUAACACGCGAAAAGAAAGGAGAGAAGAUAGAAAGUUACGGCCAGGAUGGUUGAUUAUGAAACUCGUGGGCCCCGAGGCGGGUAUAAUCAUAAUCAGAGGAAGAGGCGGUUUCGAGACGAUGAUGAUUACGAUCGCAGACAGCAGCGGCGGAGAUACGAGGAGCCCUUUGCGGUGACAGUGCGGAAACAAUUGGCAACGAUUGCGGAGUCUGCUGUGAGGAAGGUUGAAGACGACGUUGUACGAAUUGCGAAGACAGUGUCGGAACACUAUGAAGACGAGGAUGGGGAGGUUAAGAAUACUUUUGUGAAUUUAGCUUUGCAACUCGUGGCCGAGCAACCACUUAAAAUCCCCUUCGUCGCUGCGACGGUGCUCACAGCCAACACGAUGAAACCGGAAUUAGCAGCGGAAGUGCUGAAGAAAGCUGGGCAAAUUGCCCAGUCGCAUAUUGAGGCGGGUGACUGGCGCAAUGUCAAGCUCGUCCUGCGGUUUUUAGCCUGCUUGCAGGGCCUAUUUGAAGGCGAAGGCAUUUUUCCGUUGCUGGAGGAGCUGUUUUCGCGCGCAGUCGAUUUACAAACGGGUUCCUCGGAGGAUUCCCUGGGCUUGGAACUUGUGAAGAUCAUCCUUUUCACAAUCCCGUAUAUUAUGUCGUCGUCUGCUUCUGGCUUCGAGGCGCAUGCUUCGGCCCUCCUUGAGAAAACAGACAUUAUCGCCUCGACGCCACAUACUUUGGAGGCGCUGGUCGACCCCUUCCCUUCGGAUGAGGUCAAGGAGGACAAUCGAAUGAGCGUCAUUGGCCUUCUACAAAAACAGCUACAAGAAGAGGCAAAGCGAGGCUGGGAGCUUUCAUGUAUUCCACGUCCCUGGACUGGGCUAAUCCCAACGACCAAACCAGAGGCGGCACGCGAAGGUGAAGAAAAAAAUGGAGACGAAACAAUAGAAGAGAAACCAGAAGCGGAAACAAAACAGGAAGCUGAAGAUCCCUUCAAGAUUGCAACCAGGCACGGAUUCCCGUUAAUUGCCGUGCCAAACCCAGUACCCAACGGACCUAAAUCUAUAUUCCCAGACGUCUAUUUCUCCGUCUACAUUAACCAGGAACUGGAAACUGUCCCGCCCACCACAGACAUCGCCGCAUCUCUACUCCGCGACAAUCUCACCGACACAAUCGACAUACUCGACUUCAACCGCAUCGCCACCGCGAAAUUCCUCAUUGACGUCGAUUGCUAUUUCGCACCCAAUACUUUCAUCAAGCGCGCCACCCCUUUCGAUAAGAUCCGCGACGCUGUCGCAGCGGGUGCCGGUGAUCGCUCGACCUGGAAACCCGAGGAUGUCGCUGUUGACGCGGUGUUUUCGUUGCUCCUCCAGCUCCCCACGCCGGAGCAUAAGCUGGUCUACUACCACUCUGUGCUCACGGAGGCGUGCAAGAUUGCGCCUGCGGCUAUUGCGCCGAGUUUGGGAAGGUCGAUUCGUUUUUUGUAUAAGAAUAUGGAGAGAAUGGAUCUCGCGCUCUCCUAUCGGUUUUUGGAUUGGUUUGCGCAUCAUUUAAGUAAUUUUGGGUUUACAUGGAAGUGGACAGAAUGGGUUGACGAUGUUGAACUGCCAGCCGUUCACCCUAAGAAAGCGUUCAUCUGCGCUGCAUUGGAUAAAGAAAUUCGUUUAAGCUUUGCGCAGCGCAUCAAAGGCACAUUGCCGGAACCAUACCAGGCCUUAAUAUCUGAAGCGAAAGAGAAAGAUACCCCGGAUUUCAAAUACGCGCUUGAAUCAACUCCCUAUGCUGCCGAGGCACAAGAAAUCAUGCAACUCAUCCGCAAAAAAGCCCCGGAUGCCGAAAUCGAACCGCACAUCCUCGCCAUCCAACACGCCGCCGCCAACCAAACAGACACGGCGGACUCUCUAAUCCCUUCUACAGAUGCUUUCGUCACCUCAAUCUGCUACGUCGGCUCCAAAUCCCUCUCCCAUGUCCUCUCCUGCAUCGAGCGCAGCAAAGAGCGUCUCCUCUCCAUCGGGCCCCAAUCACCCGCCGCACGACGCCAAAUCAUCACCUCAGUCCUCUCCUACUGGGCUGACCAACCAGGCAUCGGCGUGAACAUCAUCGAUAAACUGCUCAACUAUACCAUUCUGACGCCGCUGUCAGUCAUCGAGUGGGCGCUUGUCGAUCACAUUGAGGGCGGCGCGGCGUUGGCGAAGGCGCAUGUGUAUGAGAUGGUUGCCGCGACGAUGGGGAAGGUGACUAACCGGAUUCGCCAGAUUGUGGUGGCGAGGGUGCAGCGGGGUAUUGUGGAGCCGCAGCUGUCUGUUAUUGACGAGACACUGCGGAGAGAGAGGGGCGAAGUGCAGGUUAUGUUUGAGGUUAUUGAGGGGGCGCUUGAGGG